UAACGGGGGGAAAAACCAACAGGGUUUUGCCUUAGUAACGGCGAGUGAAGCGGCAAAAGCUCAAAUUUGAAAUCUGGCACCUUCGGUGUCCGAGUUGUAAUUUGAAGAAGGUAACUUUGGAGUUGGCUCUUGUCUAUGUUCCUUGGAACAGGACGUCACAGAGGGUGAGAAUCCCGUGCGAUGAGAUGCCCAAUUCUAUGUAAAGUGCUUUCGAAGAGUCGAGUUGUUUGGGAAUGCAGCUCUAAGUGGGUGGUAAAUUCCAUCUAAAGCUAAAUAUUGGCGAGAGACCGAUAGCGAACAAGUACAGUGAUGGAAAGAUGAAAAGAACUUUGAAAAGAGAGUGAAAAAGUACGUGAAAUUGUUGAAAGGGAAGGGCUUGAGAUCAGACUUGGUAUUUUGCGAUCCUUUCCUUCUUGGUUGGGUUCCUCGCAGCUUACUGGGCCAGCAUCGGUUUGGAUGGUAGGAUAAUGACUAAGGAAUGUGGCUCUACUUCGGUGGAGUGUUAUAGCCUUGGUUGAUACUGCCUGUCUAGACCGAGGACUGCGUCUUUUGACUAGGAUGUUGGCAUAAUGAUCUUAAGCCACCCGUCUUGAAACCACGGGACC
rnacentral:rRNA from 1 species